rnacentral:rRNA from 1 species
GCUUCAUGAAAUACGGCCUUGUCAAAGCCUGAUCUCGUCACAUCUCAGAAGCUAAGCAGGGCUGGGUCUGGUUAGUACUUGGAUGGGAGACUGCUGAGCCAGUGGGAUUCCAGUG